CCAGCAGUGGCAAUCCCCUCAGGUCUUCCUUCGCUGUGUGGAAGCUUUGUUCUUUCGCUCUUUGCAGGAACUCUUGCUGCUGCUCGCUCUUUGGGUCCACGCUGCCUUUAGGAGCUGUAACACUCACGGCGAAGGUCCGCAGCUUCACUCCUGAGCCAGCGAGACCACGAGCCCACCGGGAGGAAAGAACAACUCCAGACGCGCCGCCUUAAGAGCUGUAACACUCACCGUGAAGGUCCGCAGCUUCACUCCUGAGCCGGCGAGACCACGAACCCACCAGAAGGAAGAAACUCCAAAGACGUUCAAACAUCAGAAGGAACAAACUCCGGACACGCCACCUUUAAGAACUGUAACACUCACCGCGAGGGUCCAUGGCUUCAUUCUUGAAGUCAGUGAGAUCAAGAACACACCAAUUCUGGACCCAGUAUCUCCCCAUACCCUAACUCCUUUCCCAAAGUAGGCAGAAAAACAGCCCUGUUGUUCCGGUGGAAGCCUUAGCUCUGUAUUCCUUUUAGACUGUAUUUCAAAACGCAUUAUUAGAGCCCCAAAGUCACCUGGUGAAAGAAUGUGAGAGCUGGAAGUGGCCUCAAAAUCCAGUUGAACCCUCUUAUUUCAUAUGUUUGGAAACUGAGCACUAGAAAAGACAGUGUCUUGCUAUGUUGCCCAGGAUGGACUUGAACUCCUGGGCUCAAGGGAUCCUCCUGCCUCUGCCUGUGAAGUAGCUGGGACUAUAAGCAUGUGCUAUGGUGCCUCGCUUCUAACUUUUAAAAAAGAUAGGCUCUUUACUAUCAUGCCUCUGUAAUUUUUUCCUCAGGCUUUUACUGCUUUUUAGAAUGUUCUUUCCCCCAUAUUUCUAUUUGCUGAAUUCCUAUUCAAACUGUGAAGACCAUCUCAAUUGCUAUUACUAAUAUAAAGUCUUCUUUGUUCCAACUCCAUGUUCCCAAGCUUGACUAAUAAUUUCCUCUUCCAUGUAUAUAAAAUCAUUAUAGCACUACGUUGAGUUUGUUGGUACUUGUUUGAAUGCCUUCCUCUCCCCCUAAAUUAUGAGUCUCCUGAGGGGCAAACUACAUCUCUUAUCAACUUCAUACUCCAUAGUUGUUCAAUAUUUGUUAAUUAAUUAACAAAUUAAUGAGGUUGUACAUUGUACAACCUCAAGUAUUGGUGAGGUUAUACAAUGAUGGGAAUAUACAUUUGCUGCUGGUGGUAGUGUUAAUUGGAACACCUGCUUUGGAAAACACUGGCAUCACAUGGUAAGGUUAAAUAUAUACAAAACUUAUGAUCCAUUGAUUCCAUUCUCGGCCAUAGAUGCCCUAGAUGGGCAUCAAGAUAAAAUGUACAAGACUGUUCACACCAGCAUUGUUUAUAACAGCCUAAAUACCCCAGGUAACAUUCAGUAGUAGAAUAGAUGAACAGAUUGUGUUAGACCCAUUCAAUAGAAUACUACUUAGCAAUGAAAAUUAAUGAACUAUGGGUUUACCCAACCACACAGAUAAAAUUCACAAAUAAAAGGCUGAGUGAAAGAAGCCAGACACGAAUACAUAGUGCCAGGCCUCUGAGCCCAAGCUAAGCCCGAUGGCAUUCCACCACAAAAGAAAUUAAAAUGGCCUGUUCCUGCCUUAACUGAUGACAUUAUCUUGUGAAAUUCCUUCUCCUGGCUCAUCCUGGCUCAACAGCUCCCCCACUGAGCACCUUGUGACCCCCACUCCUGCUCGACAGAGAACAACCCCCCGCUUUGACUGUAAUUUUCCUGUACCUACCCAAAUCCUAUAAAAUGACCCCACUCCCUUCGCUGACUCUCUUUUCGGACUCAGCCCGCCUGCACCCAGGUGAUUAAAAGCUUUAUUGCUCACACAAA
rnacentral:lncRNA from 10 species